rnacentral:piRNA from 1 species
GAAACGUCAGUACAAUUGGGGAAU